CCUACGGGUGGCAGCAGUAGGGAAUCUUUCACAAUGGGCGAAAGCCUGAUGGAGCAACGCCGCGUGCAGGAUGAAGGCCUUCGGUUUGUAAACUGCUUUUAUAAGCGAGAAAUAUGAUGGUAACUUAUGAAUAAGGAUCGGCUAACUACGUGCCGGCUGCCCCGGUAAUACGGAGGGUGCGAGCGUUAAUCGGAAUUACUGGGCGUAAAGGGUGUGCAGGCGGUUUUGCAAGAUGGAUGUGAAAGCCCCGGGCUUAACCUGGGAAAGCCCUACAUGACUGCAAGACUAGAGUGCGUCAGAGGGGGGUGGAAUUCCAAGUGUAGCAGUGAAAUGUGUAGAUAUUUGGAAGAACACCGAUGGCGAAGGCAGCACGCUGGGACGAAACUGACGCUCAUACACGAAAGCGUGGGGAGCAAACAGGAUUAGAUACCCUUGUAGUC
rnacentral:rRNA from 1 species